rnacentral:rRNA from 1 species
UACGUAGGGUGCAAGCGUUAAUCGGAAUUACUGGGCGUAAAGCGUGCGCAGGCGGUUGUGCAAGACCGAUGUGAAAUCCCCGGGCUCAACCUGGGAAUGGCAUUGGUGACUGCACGGCUAGAGUGUGUCAGAGGGGGGUAGAAUUCCAACGUGUAGCAGUGAAAUGCGUAGAGAUGUGGAGGAACACCCGGAUGGACGAAGGCAGCCCCCUGGGUCAAAACUGACGCUCAUGCACGAAAGCGUGGGGAGCAAACAGG